rnacentral:rRNA from 1 species
UACAGAGGUCUCGAGCGUUGUUCGGAUUCAUUGGGCGUAAAGGGCGCGUAGGCGGCGGGGUAAGUCUGGUGUGAAAUCUCGGGGCUUAACUCCGAAACUGCAUUCGAUACUGCCGUGCUUGAGGACUGGAGAGGAGACUGGAAUUUACGGUGUAGCGGUGAAAUGCGUAGAUAUCGUAAGGAAGACCAGUGGCGAAGGCGGGUCUCUGGACAGUUCCUGACGCUGAGGCACGAAGGCCAGGGGAGCAAACGGG